rnacentral:lncRNA from 1 species
CAGGAUUAUAAGCAGGAACUUCAUUCAAGGAGUUUCUUUUUUUUUCUGUGUGUUAAAUAUUUUAACAUAAAAAAAAAAUAAAUGUUUUUGAAUGGCGACUUCAUUCUGAACCAUCAAGAGAUGAGUUACAGAUGACGAAUGACGAUUUCAUUCUCAGUUUUUUUUUUUUUAACUACAUGCUUGUAUUUAUAAAUUUUUCUACUAAAUGUGUUUAGGAAACAUGGACACAUUCUUCACGAAUCGUAGAAGUUCGAAACUUCUUUCUAUUACUGUGUGAUGCGUUUUCAGGAAUCUCUUUCGGUGAAAGUUAUGGUUUAGGAGGAGUUCACCACACGCAUUUUUUAAGUUUAUUCUGUUAUUUUGGGAGAUGAGCAAGUGCUUAAUGGAUUUUUAAAAAUAUUUUCCAGUUUUUCGCAAGUUAUUUCUAUAAAUUAGCCUUUUUUAAUUUUUUUCGUUAUAAAUAUUUAUAGUUUUAGGAAUCUUUAAUGACUACCCGAGAACCUCCUUGAAGGUAGCUGAAGUUAUUUUUUUUUCUUUUUUAAAAAAACGCUUAAUUUAACUAGGUUAAUAAACCACUCUGGCCACCUUACGCAUAAAAAGUUCUCUCGUACGAGAAAAAAUGAAAACAAAAAACAAAAAAAGGCAGCAAAGAGACUUUUUAAAACGUCUUUAAUACGAAAUUUGUUUAGGAAAAGCCAGCAGUAGUUCUUAAUCUCAAAUUGGAUUUCCUUCGUGUUUAUAAUCAGUAGAUACCAUACGCUCUGUUAAUUAGGGUGUCCCAGGACUUGUGCAUCCUCCACUACUUAAAGCCAAUUUCCAUUUGCUAUUACAGCUUUGAUCACUGAUGGAGAUAUAAUGGAAGACACUUCAAAGACUUCUUCGUUUUGGUUUCCCCCUUCUUCUGCCUUUUUCCCCUCCUGUUCGCGUUCCCCCCUCUUAGCAGAGAGAGAGAGAGGAUUGACAACAUGUAGAAAAGUGUAUUACGAUGACGUGAUUGAGAUCGGGUUGCACUGCAAUCUUAUUCUACUCGUUCGCCCUUAGAUACUACUACAAUAAUAAAAUAGAAUUAAAGAAAUUUUCGAACGUAUACAGUUCUGUACUUUAAUAAAUUCGCGACAGCGGAAUGGGAAUUUUGUAAAAUUUCAAUUUAGUUUCUUUUUUUUACGUUUUGAAGACACUUAGAAAGUAUUUUUUUCCUCGGGAUAUCUUGAAGUGGUAUCGAGAAAAAAUGAUCAGCUACAUCGCGAUAUGUUUUAAUAAACUAUACAUAUAUAUUGCAGAAAGUUUACAUUAUGAUUUAUUGUGACGAAAUUCUCAAGAUGAUGACUACGUAGAUAUUUUUUAACACAACAAAUUUGCUCGUGUUUCAAUGCAAGGUAUCAAAGGUCUAAACAGGUGUAACGAGAAACUGAUCGUGUUCGAAAGAAAAACAAUGGAUCAUUUCCGAAGCCUAAAAAAAGAAGAAGAAGUUUUGUUAUAAAAAUAGUGUUUUCUUAAUUAUUUUAGGGUGAUUGGCGUUGAUACUCCAAGAGUGGGAUUUAUUAAGGAAGUUUAAUCAAUGGCCAGAAGCCAAAUGUAGAUUUGAUAAGGAGUUCAUGAUGAUUAUAAUAAAUAUUACACGAAGUGGAGUACCACUUGUGCGUUUGACUCGAGUAUAGUCGGUCCACUUGUCCCGAAUGUAAAAAAAUACCCUGUAUAUCUUCGACGCUUCUGGGAAUAUCUUUACGGAUCCCGUAAAGUGGUAUCAGUAAUUAAUUACGGAACGAGAAAAGAUAGAAUGUUCUUUUUUGAUGGUUUUUGAGAGUUUGUACGGAGUGAUUCAUCCUAUUUGUGUUCCAUUGUUGAGCGGCUUUUUAUCCUUACUGGCCUCUCGGAGGCCUCGUGUAAACAUCGAUAAUGACCAUGAUGUCAAAUUUGUCACGUGUUUGGCUUUAUUCUAUGUUUUUUUUAUUGUGUUACCUAGGUUUUGUUUGUUUGAUGUUUUCGAAGGUGUUAGUCGAAGUAUUUUGUUCUUUCCGAGCGCAGUAUGAGAAUGCAGUUUCUUUGUUACGUAACGGCGAUUAAAUAUAAUAAAAAAAAAAAUUAAUUUCUUCAUGCGGCGUGCACUUAAAUAGCCUGUCUUGUUAAGAUUACAAUUUUUACAACGGCGGACAAUAUCCCGUUCUUUCAUAAAUUAUAUCAUUAUUAGUACGUUGGAAUGUGCACGGACGAGACGUGAUUGUGUCUGAUAAUUUGUUUCCUGAGGAAGGGUUCUCGUUAUUUUUCUUCGUACGGCUAUGAGGAAUAUAAAUAAGAAGAUUUCGCUUAGAUUUAUGUAUUAAUUGCACUCAAAUGCUGAGUGAUUCAACUGCUCAGUCAAUAAGAACAAUAAGAUCUACCCAACCUUGCGAGGUCGGUGAUUGUUUACUAAAUAUAGAAAUUCUAUACUUUGUCCUGUCUAUCACGGACUUUACUCUCGAUUUUUUCCUGUUGAGGUGUCGGUUUUCCUUGGGUUUUAACUUACUUAUCAAGUUCUUUUAUGUACACAGCGAGGUGGUGCAGCUUGCCGGUUUUAUAAAUUGCACAUAUCUCUUAACAGUUUGUAGUUCUUCGUUUGCAGUUGCAACCCGAAUCGUCCACAUAUGUUUACGUUUUCGUCGUCCUUCGUUGAAUGCGAACGAAUGUGCAACCAUCGACUUGUUAAAGUAUCACGGGUCUCUGCUCUUAUAAGUUCGAGCGUCUGACGCCCGACUCGAUUCAUUAAAGCCAUCUUUCAUGGGCUCUUGACUGUUUGGGGCCGUUAUCGUCUAUUAAAUUGUAGUCUGAGAUAGUUGGGACGAUUCGGAGGCGUGUUCCAAUUCUUCACAAUUCAGAUUCUUCGCUCUGCGGUCGAAAAUUGGAUUUUUACGAGGUGUUGCGAAUUCCUGUUGGGGUCACCGUCACCCACCUGAACUAUUUAUCUCGGUCACGUGACCGUGGCACACGUGUUCUGCCUUGGCAAGUUGCCACCGGUUGACGUCCUUUGUUUCGUUCGUCACUCUUGCUGCCGAAGGGCGUCCACGUUCUCCUUGUAUUACCGUCAAAAUUGGGCACCGCCCCGAAUUAGAUUAGCACGUUAACCCACCCGACAUUAACCGGUAGGGUGACAAAACAGCUCACCUGGAAAAAGCAUUAUAAAGAACUUAAGUAUGCAUUCGAAAUUAGAUCUGUUAAUGUCCUUUCAUUGAAACUUAAAAACCGUAUCGAUGAUCAAGAUAAGUUCGUUCAAUCAAAAAUAUCCAGUGUAAUUCAAUAAUUGAC